CUGGCCCUCUUCCCCUCCCCCUCCUCCCGCAGCUCCUCCCAGUGCCCCCAGCCUCAGCGGCGCUGGUGCUCCUAGCUCAGAACCUGCCAGGCCUGGCUGCUGGGGGCACCUGUGCCCGGCAGGUAAGUGGCUUUGAGUGACUACAUCCAGCCCCAGCUCUGGAGUACAGCUCUGCCUCCCAGGACUCAGGGAGGGAGACCCUGGGCUUAGGACACUCUUUCUCCUUACUUCCCUGCCCCUGGAGCACCUAGGCCAGCAGGCGAGGGCAGGUGAGGGGUCCCAGAAGAUGCCAUCUGUUUCCGCAACCCCAGCUCUGCAGCCCCAGGACUCUGGGAGAGGGACCCUGGACUCAGGGCACCCCACCUCAGACUCUCCCAUCCCCACCUCCCCGCCCCAGGGCACCAUCUGUGGCCUUAGCUUUAUUGGCAUCUGUUGGGGGACAGAGACAACCCAAGGGGAAGGGCGAGGAGCUGCUUGAGUUCCCAGUGAGGUGGGGAGUGGCCACCUGCUGGGGUUGGUUGAGCCGGGUGCUGGGAUGUGGGCGCUGGGCCUCAAGAGCCUUUGCGCUGUGGGGGAGGCUGAGGCCAUAAAGCAGCUCACACGGGCAGAGGAACGGGAGGGGAGAUGAGGGGGCUGCAGAGCUUGGGGCCCCUGAAACAGGCAUCUGGCGGCCGGCAGAAGAGGCACAGUGACGGGGUGGGGGGAUCCCCAGUAGAGGUCUCUGAGACACCAAUCUCAGAGCCUCCUGCAUCCCCUACCUCGGGCAGUCACAGGGACCCCGUCCCCUGGCUCCCUGAUGUCUUGGGGCUGCCACCCUCUCUUUGGAUCAGGCCCUACCUCUCGCUCCCAAUGGCAUCCCCUUCCUCACUGUCCCGGGGGUCCAGCCCCCAUUUGCUUCCACCUGCCACAGACUCUGCACCAUCCAGAAGGCCCAGUCUCUCUCCUGGAGGCCCUUCCCAGCCCACCCUGCGCAGCUGGCCUCGCCCCCACCCCCCUCUCGGACCCAUGCCCAUGAGCUGCUCGUCACACAGCCCUCCCUACCCUGGCUGAGGCUGGUGUCUCCACAGGGCUGUCUUUCAGGACACAGUUCACAUCUCCUUCCUGAACUUGGGAUGUGUGUAACAGGAAGCAAACACAACGCCAGAGAAAAAAUCAGCCACACCCGGAUCUUAGAGAUGUGGACAUGUUGGCCGGUAGAUGAAAAACGCAGUCAUAGAAAUCAUAAGCAAUCACCAACGAGCUGAGUGCUACAAAACAGAAGUGGAGGAGGGAGACAGAAGAAGAGCCCACUGUCCCCUUCCUGGAAUGACACUCCCUCGUGGUGCCCUACUCCUUCCAAGAUAAAGAAGAGGCACUCCAGGUUUGUCUAAGACCCUGCACACCCAUCCUGGCUGACACCAGCCACCUCAUCUUCCACUAUCCGCCCCCCAGCUUCUGUCCCCCACUCUAACCAAGAAUUCCUGAGCCUCAAAGCCAAGGCUGUUUCACGUCACAGCAACUGUGAGCUUCUGCUGUCUGCAAGAACAUCCCUCCUGCCCCUCCAAGACCCAGGUCAAGAGGCACCUCCCUGAGGAAGCUGAUGUCAAAAUCGACUUGGCCCUCUGUCUUGGGGUCACGAGGUAAUGCCUGCUUCAGCAAGAUCUUGCUAAGCCAUAACUGUCUAGGUGCCCAGCCCCCAUGCUGGAAUUUCAGCUUUGCCAGGGCGAGAUCCAGCAGGGCCCGAUUCACUUCUGGUCCCUGGUGCCCUAAACAGCACCUGGCACACAGUGGACUCCCAGCCAUAUCCCCCGAACUGUGCACAGCCACCAGGCAUGGCUGAGCGGGUUAUUCCAUCAGCUUUGUGGAAUAUCGUGCAGCUGUUAAAACCACAAUUAUGAAGAUGAUUUUUGUUUGUUUUUUAGGGACAAGGUUGCCCAGGCUGGAGUGUAGUGGCAC
rnacentral:lncRNA from 1 species